UCUUGACACUGAACAAUGGAACUGACCUAUUUUAAGAUGCAUGUCAGAGCAAGAUAUUUUCAGUUGAGACCGCUCAAACGUGCAUUUUAGUCUGGGACUAGCCUUAAGCCAUUUAUUUGAUUAAUAAUAUCUAUCCUGAUGCAAAAAUUUUGCAUUGCAUCUGCAACAGGAUUGUGAACUUUUCAAGGCAUGUUUGGUCAUUAACCUUUAUAGGCAUCGAUAUGCAAACACAUGAGAGCUCUGUAAAUGAAAGACUGCAGAUCAACCUGCCUCCAACACGCUAGGAG